CUCGAUGUAGUCAAGUGGUCGAAGGCAUCUGCCUGCAAAGCAGACGGCGACAGCCCGCGCCCGUUCGCUCUGGGCGGCGCGAGCCGACCAGGACGUCGCUUGCGACGGGCCGAAGGCCGAGGGCAAAGCCCGAGCAAUCGGGCCGUCGAGUCCA
rnacentral:tRNA from 1 species